AACGCUAGCUACAGGCUUAACACAUGCAAGUCGCGGGGCAGCAUGAGGUCAGCUUGCUGACUUUGAUGGCGACCGGCGCACGGGUGAGUAACGCGUAUCCAACCUGCCUGUUACCACGGCACAGCCCGUCGAAAGGCGGAUUAAUGCCGUAUGUGGUCCUUUGCGGGCAUCUAAUUAGGACUAAAGGUUCGGCGGUAACGGAUGGGGAUGCGUCCGAUUAGCUAGACGGCGGGGUAACGGCCCACCGUGGCGACGAUCGGUAGGGGUUCUGAGAGGAAGGUCCCCCACACUGGAACUGAGACACGGUCCAGACUCCUACGGGAGGCAGCAGUGAGGAAUAUUGGUCAAUGGGCGCAAGCCUGAACCAGCCAAGUAGCGUGAGGGAAGACUGCCCUAUGGGUUGUAAACCUCUUUUGUGCGGGGAUAAAGUGUGGGACGCGUCCCAUAUUGCAGGUACCGCACGAAUAAGGACCGGCUAAUUCCGUGCCAGCAGCCGCGGUAAUACGGAAGGUCCGGGCGUUAUCCGGAUUUAUUGGGUUUAAAGGGAGCGCAGGCCGUCCUUUAAGCGUGCUGUGAAAUGCCGCGGCUCAACCGUGGCACUGCAGCGCGAACUGGAGGACUUGAGUACGCACGAGGUAGGCGGAAUUCGUGGUGUAGCGGUGAAAUGCUUAGAUAUCACGAAGAACUCCGAUUG
rnacentral:rRNA from 1 species